GCUCUGGGCAGAGGACACCUGAGAACUAUGCUGAGGCUGCUCCCAACUGCGCGGCUGCUCCAGGCCCCCCUGAGGAGCCAGGUGGCCCCCAGGGCACCAAUCUCUGCCAAGCCAGCCAGGACACCCACCUCCGCCAAGGAGCAGGCAGUCGGGCUCAUCAGCUUUUUCUGCAUCUUCCUGCUCCCUGCGGGCUGGAUCUUAUCCCACCUGGACCACUACAAGAAGAGCUCCUUCGAGUGAAGCUCCACGCAUGGGUGAAACGUGACAUUAAAUGCCGCUCCCGUGUGCUUCUCUGUA